rnacentral:rRNA from 1 species
CACGUAGGGCGCGAGCGUUGUCCGGAAUUAUUGGGCGUAAAGAGCUCGUAGGCGGCCUGUUGCGUCCGCUGUGAAAACCCAGGGCUUAACCCUGGGCUGGCAGUGGAUACGGGCAGACUAGAGGUAGGUAGGGGAGAAUGGAAUUCCCGGUGUAGCGGUGAAAUGCGCAGAUAUCGGGAGGAACACCGGUGGCGAAGGCGGUUCUCUGGGCCUUACCUGACACUGAGGAGCGAAAAGCGUGGGGGAGCGAACAGG